rnacentral:misc_RNA from 1 species
GAUGAAGAACGCAGCGAAAUGCGAUACGUAAUGUGAAUUGCAGAAUUCGGUGAAUCAUCGAAUCUUUGAACGCACAUUGCGCCUGCCAGCACUCUGGCAGGCAUGCCUGUUCGAGCGUCAUUUCAACCAUCAAGCCCUAGGCUUGCGUUGGAGCCCUGCGGCUGCCGCAGGCCCCUAAAAGCAGUGGCGGGCUCGCUAUCACACCGAGUGCAGUAGAUUACUCUUCGCUCAGGGCGUGUGGCGGGUUCCAGCCGUGAAACCCCCUACUUCUCAAGGUUGACCUCGGAUCAGGUAGGAAUACCCGCUGAACUUAAGCAUAUCAAUAAGCGGAGGA